rnacentral:rRNA from 1 species
AGACCCGAAACCCGGUGAUCUAGCCAUGGGCAGGUUGAAGGUUGGGUAACACUAACUGGAGGACCGAACCGACUAAUGUUGAAAAAUUAGCGGAUGACCUGUGGCUGGGGGUGAAAGGCCAAUCAAACCGGGAGAUAGCUGGUUCUCCCCGAAAGCUAUUUAGGUAGCGCCUCGUGAAUUCAUCUCCGGGGGUAGAGCACUGUUUCGGCUAGGGGGCCAUCCCGGCUUACCAACCCGAUGCAAACUGCGAAUACCGGAGAAUGUUAUCACGGGAGACACACGGCGGGUGCUAACGUCCGUCGUGAAGAGGGAAACAACCCAGACCGCCAGCUAAGGUCCCAAAGUCAUGGUUAAGUGGGAAACGAUGUGGGAAGGCCCAGACAGCCAGGAUGUUGGCUUAGAAGCAGCCAUCAUUUAAAGAAAGCGUAAUAGCUCACUGGUCGAGUCGGCCUGCGCGGAAGAUGUAACGGGGCUAAACCAUGCACCGAAGCUGCGGCAGCGACGCUGAUGCGUUGUUGGGUAGGGG